rnacentral:rRNA from 1 species
CACGUAGGGCGCGAGCGUUGUCCGGAAUUAUUGGGCGUAAAGAGCUCGUAGGCGGCCUUUUGCGUCCGCUGUGAAAGCCCGGGGCUCAACUCCGGAAUUGCCUUUAAGACUGCAUCGCUAGAAUUGUGGAGAGGUGAGUGGAAUUCCGAGUGUAGAGGUGAAAUUCGUAGAUAUUCGGAAGAACACCAGUGGCGAAGGCGACUCACUGGACACAUAUUGACGCUGAGGUGCGGAAGCGUGGGGAGCAAACAGG